UUUUCUUAAUAGUCAAGUUCUUUUAAUAAGUCUUUAUAUAUAAAGGAUUCGAAACUGUUGGAUGCUUUACAGUUUUUCAAACGUUGUUGGAAUCAUAUACACAAUUCUAGGUUUCUUUGGAAAAACUUAUGCUAAAAACAAAGAGUUUUUCACCAGAACAGGCGACUCAAAAAUGGUGAAAGCAUUGGUUCUAAAAUUUUGGAGUUUUGAAAAGCAAAAACACGGUCCAUGUAUGCGGUCUUGAGUUACAUCUAUUUCAUACGGGUCUUGAGUGGGAUCUUGAGUUAAUUUAUUGCAUAGGGUCUUGAAAAUACAUGUAUCAGCGAGGGAAUGAUAUUUGCAUAGUGGUUCCUAAAUCGCUGCUCUGCGAUUCAGAUGUGUUUGAAGUGUAAUGUUGCAUAAACAACCCAUACUUUUUUAUGGUAGAUGAAGGCCAUACGAACCUGGGAUAACAAUCCUCCCUCCGUGUAUAUUCAGGCAGUCUUCGUUUUUACCACUAUGAUGAGCAAGAGUUGGUUCAGAUAAAGACACAAAUAUUAAUGUCAACUAUGUCGUUUCUAGGAGUGCUAAUGUAUUCUUAGAUUACGGUCUUCCUCAAUCAGAUUAUUGGAUUCCAUAUCCAUUAACGCCCAACAAAAGAAAUUACCCAAUACUAAA